GAAAAAAUACCUCAAAAAAUUCCUGAAUCGCACAUGUCACCUUUGAUUAUCGCUACGAAUAACAUAUCAAAAUUUCACAUUUUUUCGUGAUAACCAGAAAUAUAUCAAAAAAAUUUAUUCGUAAACGUCCAAAAAAUAAAAAAACAAAAAAAAUGACACAAAAACACCUUCAAAAAAUCAUGAAUUUCACCAAUCAACUUAGAAUAUCGAUACGAAUAAAGUAUCACAAUUUGAAAUUAUUUCCUGACAACCAG
rnacentral:lncRNA from 1 species